UCAAAACUGAACCGAAAAUGCAAGACUUGCUUUAAUUGUUUCCUUCAAUUUCUUUCUGUAUUAUUUACUAUAAUGGAACUCAUGUUAUUUACAUUGUGUUAUAUCAAUACAUAUAAACACUGACAGAAAACAAUUAAAGCAAGUCUUGCAUUUUCGGUUCAGUUUUGA